rnacentral:lncRNA from 1 species
UCCCUCGGGAUCCCGUGGUUCAGCAGUUGGAAGAUUCCCCACUCCCGGCUGGCCUCGGCGACGGCGAUCGUCAACCGAUCCCGGUCGGCGCCCGCGAGGUCGAUGACGGGGAUCUCCGGCGCGGGGCCGCGGUAGGUGGUGAUGCCCGGCUGCUCGUGCUCCGACCGUAUGAACUCCGGAGGCAUAACACCGUCGGCGGCGCAGACGGACGCGAUGACUUGAACCCUCUCCACCUCCAUCUUGCGUGGGUGCUACGCACUAGCCUGAGGCCGUUUCUUACGCUCGAGUUGGUGGAUUGUGAUAAGCUAAGAUAAGAAGGGAGAUUGCCGGUCUGGCACUGGGGUCACUCUUUUCUAGGUUAAGUGUGUCGGCAGUCGAAUUACCACGGCGGAGCACACAUGCGAAGUCUCUGAAAACGACAACAUUUACUGUUGUAUUCUUCUUCAUAUCUAUAUCAACCAUUAUGUCAGUUACCAUCCAAAUGUUUAUUGAUUAUCACCGAUUAGAUCAUGAUAGAUUAUAUUAGAACCGAUCUAAUAUUGAGAUAUUGAUUUAGUUUCGCGUCGAAAAUAAGCAAACAAAUCAGUUGUCUCAUCGGACUCAUGAGCGCUGUUAAACGAUGACGAGGAACGGGAAAAGCAUGUAACGUAACAACGUUUACUGUGGAAGCUUGUUGAGCUUGCAGUAGGCGUAGUCUUUGUACUUCUUGGCCUUGUACUUGGGAGGGCUCUCAUCACCGACGAGCUGUUGCAGAGGGCCAAUUACCAUCUCACCAGGAGGAGAGCAGAAGACUGGCCACGACAUCCUGACCUUCUCUUUGUUCACGGUUGUUCUGUGCAACGCGCUCUUGUAUAUCCCAUUGCUCAAAAUCUACGUAACACAACGCCAAUAGAUGAGUAGGAAGAAGAAUGAAUGAGAUAUGUAUACUUUUAGUUAUUUUGGUGACCUCGAUCUGAUCACCGAUGUGGACGAUGACAGCAUCAGGAACGUAGUUGACGUCGAUCCAGUGCUCAUCGUUGAAGACCUGCAAACCAGGGACAUGGUUGGGGACGAGAAUGGUGAUAGCGGACAUGUCAGUGUGAGCCACCACCCCGAGAGCCAGGUCAGGCCGAGGACACGGCGGGUAGUAGUUGAUCUUUAGGAGUUGCUCCAGUCCAUCUCCGCCAAGUGCUUCCUUGAGGACAUGAUCUCCCAGUCCCAGUCCCCUCGACAGCGCCAUCAGCAUCCUGUCCACAAGACACGCCAGGUGUUUGCCGUAGUGCUCGUUUACUUGCCUGUCAAAACCGCAAAGGUCAAAACAGGUUACCUAGAUGAGUCAGAUAAUUCAAGACAUACUGAGGUUUGACUGGAUGAAGCACAUGGCGGUGAUGUGGAAGUGGCAUUUAAAAUAUGGCUCGCCGUGGAAUGCGAGGCUCAUAUUCUUAAGCAAUGACCUUGCUUUGCCCAUAUAAAAUACACCAUGCACAUUGUCUCCUUCCCUACGCCAAUUUCCUUGAAAGUCUACACGAAGCAUCAUCCUCAACUAACAUAAAAUUAAUCCUCAAUCUGAUCACCAACUCCAAUUAGUCACCACCUCAAACAACACAUAAAAGAGAAUAAUUCCAUAUAUAAACUCACUAUAUACAUAUAUAUGUAUACAUAAUUACUUUACCUAUAAUCGGCAGGUUUCUUGGGCCAGAUGGCGUGGUUGACGCGAGACGGCGGCGAUACGUAGUGGAAGAAGAAAUCAACCCAGGCCUUCUUGCCCUCCAACUCCUUCUGCAGCUUGGUGCCAUAUCCUUCCAAGCUCCCCGAUCCGGGCACCAUCGCGUACUUCUCCUUCUCCUCCUGCGGUAGCUCGAAGAAUUCCAUGCCGACGCGCUGCAGCUCACGUAUCACCUCCCCCGGAAUCCCGUGGUUCAGCAGUUGGAAGAUUCCCCACUCCCGGCUGGCCUCGGCCACGGCGAUCGUCAACUGGUCCUGGUUGUCGCCCGCGAGGUCGAUGACCGGGAUCUCCGGGGCGGGGCCGCGGUAGGUGGUGAUGCCCGGCUGCUCGUGCUCCGACCGUAUGAACUCUGGCGGCAUGGCGCCGUUGGCUGCACAGACGGACGCGAUGGCUUGAACCCUCUCCAUCUCCAUCUUGUGUUGGUCAAGGUCGGAGCUGCUACUAGCAAGAACCUGGUU